rnacentral:rRNA from 1 species
GACGAACGCUGGCGGCGUGCCUAAUACAUGCAAGUUGAGCGCUGAAGGUUGGUACUUGUACCGACUGGAUGAGCAGCGAACGGGUGAGUAACGCGUGGGGAAUCUGCCUUUGAGCGGGGGACAACAUUGGGAAACGAAUGCUAAUACCGCAUAAAAACUUUAAACACAAGUUUUAAGUUUGAAAGAUGCAAUUGCAUCACUAAAAGAUGAUCCCGCGUUGUAUUAGCUAGUUGGUGAGGUAAAGGCUCACCAAGGCGAUGAUACAUAGCCGACCUGAGAGGGUGAUCGGCCACAUUGGGACUGAGACACGGCCCAAACUCCUACGGGAGGCAGCAGUAGGGAAUCUUCGGCAAUGGACGAAAGUCUGACCGAGCAACGCCACGGGAGUGAAGAAGGGUUUCGGAUCGGAAAACUCUGUUGGUAGAGAAGAACGUUGGUGAGAGUGGAAAGCUCAUCAAGUGACGGUAACUACACAGAAAGGGACGGCUAACUACGUG